rnacentral:tRNA from 1 species
GGACCUAUAGCUCAGUCGGUUAGAGCGCUUCCCUGAUAAGGAAGAGGUCGGAGGUUCAAGUCCUCCUAGGUCCA